GGCGCAUUAGCUAGUUGGGGGGGUAACGGCCUACCAAGGCGACGAUGCGUAGCCGACCUGAGAGGGUGACCGGCCACACUGGGACUUAUACCGCCGGCUGCUGGCAAAGCAGACGGUGUGACCAUUAUUGAAAACGCUGUCCGUGAGCUUGAAAUAGUAGAAGUAGCAACGUUGAUCAACAAUAUGGGAGCAAACUUUAAAGGGGCAGGAACAGACAUGAUCAGCAUUGAAGGCGUAGAAUGCAUGCGUUUGAUGAAUUACAUUCUAUUAUCAUCACUCGAAUGUUAAUUGGGGACGUACAUGUCAUGUAAUCCCAGCUUCGAUUCAAUGUGGGAUAAUCGUAUGACGGCAUCAAACCAAGGAUUCGAUGCCGGGCAACGGAUCAAUAUUUUCCGCCCCCUGUAGAGCAGGUUGCCAUUUUGCGAGUCAUGGGGCGAACAUAGUAAGAGAAAAAGAUACCUAAUGGGGUAAC
rnacentral:rRNA from 1 species